CCUACGGGUGACAGCAGUGGGGAAUAUUGGACAAUGGGGGCAACCCUGAUCCAGCCAUGCCGCGUGUGUGAAGAAGGCCCUCGGGUUGUAAAGCACUUUCAGUGAGGAAGAACGCCUGGUGGUUAAUACCCAUCAGGAAAGACAUCACUCACAGAAGAAGCACCGGCUAACUCCGUGCCAGCAGCCGCGGUAAUACGGAGGGUGCGAGCGUUAAUCGGAAUUACUGGGCGUAAAGCGCGCGUAGGUGGCUUGAUAAGCCGGUUGUGAAAGCCCCGGGCUCAACCUGGGAACGGCAUCCGGAACUGUCAAGCUAGAGUGCAGGAGAGGAAGGUAGAAUUCCCGGUGUAGCGGUGAAAUGCGUAGAGAUCGGGAGGAAUACCAGUGGCGAAGGCGGCCUUCUGGACUGACACUGACACUGAGGUGCGAAAGCGUGGGUAGCAAACAGGAUUAGAUACCCGUGUAGUC
rnacentral:rRNA from 1 species